UGCUUGGAUGCUGCGCCGAUCAACAUCAUCACGACGGGAGAAGGAGAAGGAAAGCUAUAGCGCGAAAGAAUAGACGCCACAAACAGAUCAAUUGAAUAAUCGUCGGUUUGAGCGAUCGCGGGUUAUUGUGUGCGUAAAAUCUGUGAAGGUUGAUGAGAAACAUCCAGAGCUACAAGAGCCAGUCGACCGUCUGCCAACAGAUACAGUUGCAGUAGAGCGCUCGCCCGGUUAAGAAGGCGUUUCAGAACAGUUCCUCCAGUGAAGUGAGUGAAAGUGGAUUGUUUUCUGUGAUUUAAUCGUGCAAUAGUGUGUCCCCCGAACGAUGGCUAAAGUGCCGUGCGUACUCGCGAUGAUGUUGUCAGUCACCGCCUUGGCCUGCCUGGCCGGUAUUGUACAGGGUCAUACCUACAAAACCGGUGACUGCCCAACGGUUGAACCGAUGAGCGGUUUCAGCAUGAAGCAGUUCCUCGGCAUCUGGUACGUUAUACAGAAGACCGGCACCGCAUCAACCUGCGUAAUCUACAACAUCACCAAAAAUGCGGACACACCGGACGAGUACUUUAUUGAGCAGAUCUCCCAAAAGGCUCCACUCUCGAUCGCACCCAUCAAGCACGAGUAUUCGUACACUGGCAAGCUUACCGUUACCGACCGGGACGUUCCGGCCCGGAUGACCGUUCGGUUUCCGCUCAGCGUGGCCGGUUCCGCAAAGUUUGUCGUGUUCAUGACCGACUACGACACGUACGCUGGGGUGUUUUCGUGUCAGAAGAUUCCAUUUGGACACCGGCAGAGUGCGACUCUGCUGUCCCGCACGCGCGAUUUGGAUAAAAUCUACGUCGACAAGAUCCGCACCCGGUUAAGCUCGUAUUCGGUGGAUCCGUUCGAUCUGAGCAUCGUCAACCAGACCGGCUGUCCGAAGGAGGGUGAAGCCGGCUGGAACAUCCACAUCGAUCCAGACACCUUCUCGACGCGCAACAUUGCCAACGCGUUCCGGAAGGCGGGUGAAGCGAUCGGUGACGGGUUCGAGGCUGCAGUGAACGCCGGCAAAAAGGUUCAUUUAUUUUGACCCGAAACGCGUACAGACUGAUAGAAACGAAACUGCGAAACGAAAUGGAAGGGGAGGAUGUGUAAGGCGGCAAAUCAGAUCUACAAUAAGUACCGAAAUGGAGAUAGCGAUGAGGAAGAAGCCUAUGUGGAAAAAACAACCAACCGUUCCGAACGGAUGAUGGAGGACGUCGAAUGGUUGCCCUGAAGGGAUGAUGGGCUCACAUUUCGGCCACAUAACUUUUACAUGAAUGUACUAAUUAAUUUAAUUGAUAUGUCAAUAAACAACUGAAACUCCUCA